CAGUCACUGGAAGCAAACUCAGGCGAACACGUCACUACUUCCGCAUCCAAAAAAAUUGGAUCUUACGGCAGACCAGACGAGAGGAACACCGAAAACAACGAACAGACUUGCUGUUCCCUGAUGUGGUCUUCAUCUGCUUUGCGAUCUCGUCCAGGACAAGCGCAUAUCCUGCCUUCAAAUGACCUUCGACCUAACACUUGUCCGCUACAGGGUUGUUGGAAGACAUAGUGCAUCAAACACAAAUCAACAUUUGAAAAAAAGUAAUAAUGACAAGGAUGGGUCUCCUGUUCAUGCCGCCCACACAGCUGCUGUUGCACAUGAAGUUGUACAAGAUGGUAGUAAACUCUGUC